AUUGAACGCUGGCGGCAGGCUUAACACAUGCAAGUCGAACGAGUGGCGGACGGGUGAGUAAUGCGUGGGAAACUGCCUUAUGGAGGGGGAUAACUACGGGAAACGGUAGCUAAUACCGCAUACCAUAGGAUGAGCCCAGGUGGGAUUAGGUAGUUGGUGGGGUAAAGGCUCACCAAGCCGACGAUCUCUAGCUGGUCUGAGAGGAUGACCAGCCACACUGGGACUGAGACACGGCCCAGACUCCUACGGGAGGCAGCAGUUGGGAAUCUUGGGCAAUGGACGCAACUCUGACCCAGCCACGCCGCGUGAGUGAAGAAGGCUUUCGGGUUGUAAAGUUCUUUUGUUAGAGAGGCGGUAUCUACCGAGGAAGCACCGGCUAACUCCGUGCCAGCCGCCGCGGUAAUUC
rnacentral:rRNA from 1 species